UACAGAGGGCUCAAGCGUUGUUCGGAUUCAUUGGGCGUAAAGGGUGCGUAGGCGGCGCGGUAAGUCGGGUGUGAAAUCUCGGAGCUUAACUCCGAAACUGCAUUCGAUACUGCCGUGCUUGAGGACUGGAGAGGAGACUGGAAUUUAAGGUGUAGCGGUGAAAUGCGUAGAUAUCGUAAGGAAGACCAGUGGGGAAGGCGGGUCUCUGGACAGUUACUGACGCUGAGGCACGAAGGUCAGGGGAGCAAACGGG
rnacentral:rRNA from 1 species